rnacentral:rRNA from 1 species
AUGAACGCUGGCGGCGUGCCUAAUACAUGCAAGUCGAACGCUUUGUGGUUCAUCUGAUAUGAAGAGCUUGCUCGGAUUUGACGAUGGACAUUGCAAAGAGUGGCGAACGGGUGAGUAACACGUGGGAAACCUACCUCUUAGCAGGGGAUAACAUUUGGAAACAAAUGCUAAUACCGUAUAACAAUGACAACCGCAUGGUUGUUAUUUGAAAGAUGGUUCUGCUAUCACUAAGAGAUGGUCCCGCGGUGCGUUAGUUAGUUGGUGAGGUAAUGGCUCACCAAGACGAUGAUGCAUAGCCGAGUUGAGAGACUGAUCGGCCACAAUGGGACUGAGACACGGCCCAUACUCCUACGGGAGGCAGCAGUAGGGAAUCUUCCACAAUGGGCGAAAGCCUGAUGGAGCAACGCCGCGUGUGUGAUGAAGGGUUUCGGCUCGUAAAACACUGUUGUAAGAGAAGAAUGACAUUGAGAGUAACUGUUCAAUGUGUGACGGUAUCUUACCAGAAAGGAACGGCUAAAUACGUGCCAGCAGCCGCGGUAAUACGUAUGUUCCAAGCGUUAUCCGGAUUUAUUGGGCGUAAAGCGAGCGCAGACGGUUAUUUAAGUCUGAAGUGAAAGCCCUCAGCUCAACUGAGGAAUUGCUUUGGAAACUGGAUGACUUGAGUGCAGUAGAGGAAAGUGGAACUCCAUGUGUAGCGGUGAAAUGCGUAGAUAUAUGGAGGAACACCGGUGGCGAAGGCGGUUCUCUGGGCCUUACCUGACGCUGAGGAGCGAAAGCGUGGGGAGCGAACAGGAUUAGAUACCCUGGUAGUCCACGCUGUAAACGUUGGGCGCUAGGUGUGGGAGUCUUUUGUGACGUCCGUGCCGUAGCUAACGCAUUAAGCGCCCCGCCUGGGGAGUACGGUCGCAAGACUAAAACUCAAAGGAAUUGACGGGGGCCCGCACAAGCGGCGGAGCAUGUUGCUUAAUUCGAGGCAACGCGAAGAACCUUACCUGGGUUUGACAUGUGGGUUAAUCCGGCAGAGAUGUCGGGUCCUUUUGGGAACUCAUGCAGGUGGUGCAUGGCUGUCGUCAGCUCGUGUCGUGAGAUGUUGGGUUAAGUCCCGCAACGAGCGCAACCCUCGUCCUAUGUUGCCAGCACGUUAUGGUGGGGACUCAUAGGAGACUGCCGGGGUCAACUCGGAGGAAGGUGGGGAUGAUGUCAAGUCUUCAUGCCCCUUAUGUCCAGGGCUGCAAACAUGCUACAAUGGUCGGUACAAUGGGCUGCGAGACCGUGAGGUGGAGCGAAUCCCUAAAAGCCGGCCUCAGUUCGGAUCGGGGUCUGCAACUCGACCCCGUGAAGUUGGAGUCGCUAGUAAUCGCGGAUCAGCAACGCCGCGGUGAAUACGUUCCCGGGCCUUGCACACACCGC